AUUGAACGCUGGCGGCAGGCCUAACACAUGCAAGUCGGGCGAUUUUGACUUCGGUCAGAAGAGCGGCGAACGGGUGAGUAACACGUAGGAAUCUGCCUGGUAGUGGGGGACAACGUCUCGAAAGGGACGCUAAUACCGCAUACGCCCUACGGGGGAAAGCCGGGGAUCUUCGGACCUGGCGCUAUCAGAUGAGCCUGCGUCGGAUUAGCUAGUUGGCGGGGUAAAGGCCCACCAAGGCGACGAUCCGUAACUGGUCUGAGAGGAUGAUCAGUCACACCGGAACUGAGACACGGUCCGGACUCCUACGGGAGGCAGCAGUGGGGAAUAUUGGACAAUGGGGGCAACCCUGAUCCAGCCAUGCCGCGUGUGUGAAGAAGGCCUUCGGGUUGUAAAGCACUUUAGGUCGGGAGGAAGGUUCGCUGGCUAAUAUCCAGCGGAAUUGACGUUACCGACAGAAUAAGCACCGGCUAACUCCGUGCCAGCCGCCGCAGUAA
rnacentral:rRNA from 1 species